rnacentral:lncRNA from 1 species
CAGGGAACAAGGGGCCAGAUGGCAAGCAGACAUGUGCUUAAGGCUGGGAAUGUGAUGCAAAGCAAGUGGGUCUUUCCAAAACUUUUAUCCUGAAACGAAGAAGCAGAUAUCGGAAUGUACUGGAAAAAAAUAGAAAAGGAAGAUCCCUCACCAUCCAUAACAUGACACAUGGAAGAGAAAGGGUUCCUAAGCUUCCAGGUGACCCUGCAACCCCUACUUCAUUCUGGAGUGUCUGGCUCUAGAUAACUUUAAAGAAAAAUCAACCCUUCCUUG